rnacentral:rRNA from 1 species
CCCCUUGCUAAGGCCGAUGGCGACCGGCGCACGGGUGAGUAACACGUAUCCAACCUGCCGUCUACUCUCCCCCCCCCUUCUGAAAGGAAGAUUAAUACAAGAUGGCAUCAUGACUCCGCAUGUUCACAUGAUUAAAGGUAUUCCGGUAGACGAUGGGGAUGCGUUCCAUUAGAUAGUAGGCGGGGUAACGGCCCACCUAGUCUUCGAUGGAUAGGGGUUCUGAGAGGAAGGUCCCCCACAUUGGAACUGAGACACGGUCCAAACUCCUACGGGAGGCAGCAGUGAGGAAUAUUGGUCAAUGGGCGCAGGCCUGAACCAGCCAAGUAGCGUGAAGGAUGACUGCCCUAUGGGUUGUAAACUUCUUUUAUAAAGGAAUAAAGUCGGGUAUGUAUACCCGUUUGCAUGUACUUUAUGAAUAAGGAUCGGCUAACUCCGUGCCAGCAGCCGCGGUAAUACGGAGGAUCCGAGCGUUAUCCGGAUUUAUUGGGUUUAAAGGGAGCGUAGAUGGAUGUUUAAGUCAGUUGUGAAAGUUUGCGGCUCAACCGUAAAAUUGCAGUUGAUACUGGAUAUCUUGAGUGCAGUUGAGGCAGGCGGAAUUCGUGGUGUAGCGGUGAAAUGCUUAGAUAUCACGAAGAACUCCGAUUGCGAAGGCAGCCUGCUAAGCUGCAACUGACAUUGAGGCUCGAAAGUGUGGGUAUCAAACAGGAUUAGAUACCCUGGUAGUCCACACGGUAAACGAUGAAUACUCGCUGUUUGCGAUAUACAGCAAGCGGCCAAGCGAAAGCGUUAAGUAUUCCACCUGGGGAGUACGCCGGCAACGGUGAAACUCAAAGGAAUUGACGGGGGCCCGCACAAGCGGAGGAACAUGUGGUUUAAUUCGAUGAUACGCGAGGAACCUUACCCGGGCUUAAAUUGCAGAUGAAUUACGGUGAAAGCCGUAAGCCGCAAGGCAUCUGUGAAGGUGCUGCAUGGUUGUCGUCAGCUCGUGCCGUGAGGUGUCGGCUUAAGUGCCAUAACGAGCGCAACCCUUGUUGUCAGUUACUAACAGGUUCCGCUGAGGACUCUGACAAGACUGCCAUCGUAAGAUGUGAGGAAGGUGGGGAUGACGUCAAAUCAGCACGGCCCUUAUGUCCGGGGCUACACACGUGUUACAAUGGGGGGUACAGAGGGCCGCUACCACGCGAGUGGAUGCCAAUCCCAAAAACCUCUCUCAGUUCGGACUGGAGUCUGCGACCCGACUCCACGAAGCUGGAUUCGCUAGUAAUCGCGCAUCAGCCACGGCGCGGUGAAUACGUUCCCGGGCCUUGUACU